UGCGUACCAAAUGUAAUGUUAAGGCAGGGCUUGACAUUCAGGUCAAAUGUAAUGUUUAGGCAGGGCUUGACAUUCAGGUCAAAUGUAAUGUUAAGGCAGGGCUUGACAUUCAGGUCAAAUGUAAUGUUUAGGCAGGGCUUGACAUUCAGGUCAAAUGUAAUGUUUAGGCAGGGCUUGACAUUCAGGUCAGUUUGGCCGAAUGAAAGAAAUACUGGCACCAGUCAACAUCUGGCAGGCAAGUGAAUGAUGAGCAUCAAUUCAACAGCUAGUGAUUUUAUCUUUCAUUUGGGCUGAGCAAGUAGCCUACAGGAUUUAUACAGACAUUGGGAAGUUAAAUUCAAUGAUUUUUCGGGCAGUUAAUUGUAAUUUUGAAGGACUUACAUUUUAUAUUGAAUUGUCAUAGCCUAUCGAAAUAAAUCCCCUCAAAACUAGUAAGCAAACCAGUAUGCAUAACAACUUAGAGAAUAAUGCGUGUUUUAUUACGCCUUCCACGUGGCAUUAUGCAAUGACAUAAACAUACUUUACAUUCUAAAACCUGUCAGAAUAAAGCAGACAUUAUCUGACUAA